rnacentral:tRNA from 2 species
GGAGACGUACUCAAGUGGUUAAGAGGACACCCUGCUAAGGUGUUAGGCCGUUCUGCGGCGCAUGAGUUCGAGUCUCAUCGUCUCCGCCA